rnacentral:piRNA from 1 species
UAUUCUAAGAUGGAGAGGGGGAAAGC